AGUGAACGCUGGCGGUAGGCCUAACACAUGCAAGUCGAACGGCAGCACAGUAAGAGCUUGCUCUUACGGGUGGCGAGUGGCGGACGGGUGAGGAAUACAUCGGAAUCUACUUUUUCGUGGGGGAUAACGUAGGGAAACUUACGCUAAUACCGCAUACGACCUACGGGUGAAAGCAGGGGAUCUUCGGACCUUGCGCGAUUGAAUGAGCCGAUGUCGGAUUAGCUAGUUGGCGGGGUAAAGGCCCACCAAGGCGGCGAUCCGUAGCUGGUCUGAGAGGAUGAUCAGCCGCACUGGAACUGAGACACGGUCCAGACUCCUACGGGAGGCAGCAGUGGGGAAUAUUGGACAAUGGGCGCAAGCCUGAUCCAGCCAUACCGCGUGGGUGAAGAAGGCCUUCGGGUUGUAAAGCCCUUUUGUUGGGAAAGAAAAGCAGCAGGUUAAUACCCCGCUGUUCUGACGGUACCCAAAGAAUAAGCACCGGCUAACUUCGUG
rnacentral:rRNA from 1 species